CGAGUUUUUGCCAGCGAACUCCUAAAGUGUUGUACCCUUUUAGUUUGUUUGUUGACAUGUCCAGUCUCUCUUUGCCAAGAAGUGCGCCACAGCAAUGCUCUUGAUGGUGUCAUCAAUCCUAAACAACUUAAAGGAAGUGCGGAACUUGGCCAGAGUGAGAGAUUUACACAAGCAUGUGACAGAAGGUCAGAAGCCCAGACUUCCCUCUCCCUGGCCUACCAUGUUCAGACCGGACCCCAUCAAUACCAUGACUGUGCCUAGAAAUGAUGUCCAUAAAAGG